CCUAUGUGACUGGGCAAGUUACACUCUUAAAGGUUUCCUUUCAGUGAGAGGAUUGGAUUAGAUGGUCACUAAGAUCCUUUCAUCGUGAAAUCUAUGAUGCUUGAUGAAGCCCUCUGCUGCCCUCCGCUGUUUAAAGGAGAGAGUUCAGAGGGUGAUGACAAUUGAGCACAGGGCAUUCAAUCAUCCGGUCUUUUACUGUGGAAAGUCUUGACUCUGAACACACCUGAAAGACAUAAGUCACUUACAACUAUGAUUCUGAGAAAGGAUCCAUAAUCUUUACCAGACUGUCAAAGGCAUAGACAGCAUAACAAAGUCUUGCUACAUAUCUAUAAUUCUAUUUCUGAGCCACAGGGCCUUCCCUCAGAGUUAUCUGGUAAGUGUUUGAUGUACCUGAUACUAUCCACAAUAUUUAUGGAUUUUAUCUAGGACAUUUUUUGUUUGUUUUAAAGCCU